CCUACGGGAGGCAGCAGUGAGGAAUAUUGCGCAAUGGAGGAAACUCUGACGCAGUGACGCCGCGUAUAGGAUGAAGGUUUUCGGAUUGUAAACUAUUGUCGUUAGGGAAGAUAAAAGACUGUACCUAAGGAGGAAGCCCCGGCUAACUACGUGCCAGCAGCCGCGGUAAUACGUAGGGGGCGAGCGUUAUCCGGAUGCACUGGGUGUAAAGGGAGCGUAGACGGGCAUGCAAGGCAGGGGUGAAAGCCCGGGUGCCAACCCCGGGACUGCCCUUGAAACUGGUCGGCGAGAGUGCGGGAGGGGCAGGCGGAAUUCCUGGUGUAGCGGUGAAAUGCGUAGAUAUCAGGAGGAACACCGGCGGCGAAGGCGGGCUGCUGGACCGCGACUGACGUUGAGGCUCGAAAGCGUGGGGAGCGAACAGGAUUAGAUACCCCGGUAGUC
rnacentral:rRNA from 1 species